UUCAUCAUCCCAAUAUAAUUAUCAGCAGCCCAACUUGUCAAAUAACCCAUUCCAAAACAUAAAUUCUAAAUACCCACCGUACAACAAUACAUAAAAUCAACCACCCGACCCGCACGACUGAAACUCAGACGAAACCCAGAAAUCCCAGCAUUCACGCGAUGCAUCCUCCCAUCUCUCUUCGUACGAAGACCAUUGGAGAGGGUGAGAUGUCGAAAUAUCAUGCCCCGAUUGUCCUUCACUCAAAAUCGACCGCUCACCAUUAAAAUUUGUACACUAACCAAUGGAAAAUCCCUAUCUUUUAAGGGAUUUCAAAAAUUGUCAAAAAUCCCACAUCGUUUCUUCUAAGAUUUUUGGGUUUCUACAUAAACCCUCUUAAUUCACUCUUUUAGGAGAGGAUUUCCGGAGACCAAAAAUUUCGCAUAAAAUCUUUAGGAAUUCUUGGUUCCAUAAUUUAAUAUUUUUAAAACCUUUUUGUGGCUGUUUGAGUUUAGAGAGGUGGUGGAAUAGUCUCCGUUAAGCCUGUCAUUCGAUUAGCUGCCCGGGAAGAGGUAAAUUAUUUCUUUAACUUAAUUUCCUUUUAAUCUCUAGUCCCAUUCUGUUUAUGUUAUGUAUCCUUAGCUUUCAUUAUUUUCGGUUCUUUGUUUUCGUAAGUAGUUUCUACUACCUUCAUGUGUUUAACUGUGUCUAAGAUGUGAUUUCUUUCUAUAUCUUGUGUCACCAGCCUUUAGAAUUUGUAUAUUGUGGGGAAAUUUAAAUAAUAUUUGUUGAUAUUCGAGUUUUGCCUGGAAUAGUAUUAGCUUCACUCAUGUUCGACCGUUCCUUGUGAUUUCGGUGUCACAUUGGCAAAUUCCUAAUUCUUUGAGCAAUCAAUUUAGUCAAAACAUAUGUUGUACAACUUAGGAGUUAAAUUUUCAUCAUACAUUUGCCUCUGAGAUGGUCUGCAAUUUGUAUUCUCUUUCACAUUUUGUAGAUAUGUGGCUUCAUAUGCAUCUAAGGUCUACUGUUAUAGCUCAUGCCCCCCUUUCUUUUCUCCCUUUACCUAUUUAAGUUUAAGAAAUCAAAUCGUCUAUUUUGUUUUGAUAUUCAUUAUUGUUGUUGUUCAAGUGUUUGACUUCUUAAUUGUUUGGUAUCCAUUUGUUGCUUUCAAGAGUUAUGGUAAGCUGUAUGAUUGAAUGAUUAUUAGUUUUACUACUGGCUGCAUUUUUCUCUUCAUAUUAUUGAAUUAGUUUUAACAGUUAGCCUUCAAGUCCCCUUUUAGAAUUAUUAGCUGUUUUUUUACGAAGAUGACAUGUGUAAGAAUAUAUUUUGAGUUCAUAAUUAGUAUAUUGUGUCUUCUUUUGGGUUUAAAGGUUUAGCUUUAUCAUGCUUUUUUUUAUUUAAGAAGUUCAAAGGUUUUGGUAAACUCAGUUUGAUUGCCUUGAUUUAAUAUAAGUUUCACCAUCUUUAUUUGUACUAGUUUGUUAUGUAUCAUCAAGUAUCUAUUGCCGUUGUUGCUGUUGUUUGUCCUUUUAAGGAUCUUAUUCUUUCAAGAGUCAUGAGUUGAUCCUAGGAUUAGUUGAGCUCUAGACUUCUCUUUGGUAGAUCCUCUUGUCACUCCUUCGAGCUAUAGAUCCUAAAUUGCGUGUAUUGGCUCGGUUUGGAAUUCGUAGUAAUUGCUGGUUAUUCGUUUAAAUUUGUCGUUAUUUGAGAGCUCAAAGGUCAUCCGAAAUGGUAGAGCAUGUUAGCCUUACAAUGCUUCUUCCAAGUACAGCUUUUGAAGUUAUGUUAGGCUUAGUUUACCUAGAGUUAGUAUAAGUCAAUUAUGCAACUAAGUGAUAACUUAUGUUGGUAGAUUGUUAAUUAUGCUGGUUAUUUACUCUUUGUUAAAUCAAUUUAAGUGUGGUAAUUUUACAAGUUAAAGGCGAGUAAUUUAUGCCUAACAAUGUCGGAUUGAAACUUGAAUAUGUUUAAAUUAGACACAAGAAUGAUCUUUUACUUUCUCUCAUUAGCAACUUCUCCUAUCUUUGCUUUGCUUUUAUUAGUAUUUAUUUUGGAGUCCUAUUAGAUACAGAUAAGAAGAGCAAGAGUUGUAUGCUUGUUUUAAUUUUGGUUUUGUAUGUUUUGAUGUAGAUUAGAAUACUAUAAUCCUGUUUAAGUUCACAUGUAGCUUCUGUGUAUGUAUAAUUGAUUUAUAAGUUUCCUUCAUUUCUCAAAAUAGUUUUCUUUGUCUUGUGUCUUGCUUAAGAAGGUUCAUAUGUGAUGUUUAUUAUUGAAUGCUUUGGCUUUAUGUUCUCUAUAAUGAUCCCCAAUUAUUUUAUUUUUUUGUUUUAUUUUUUCGAUGACUUGUUUAUUGAGUUAGUUUUUCCUUGUUUUUUUAAAAAAAUAUUUUGUCCAGUUUGCCAUACUAAAGUUUUGAAAGCUAGGACUAAUUAAUGACCAUGUGUUUCCUGUUUGGUUAAUUUGACAAUAACUUUAAUUCGUUAUGUUUUCUUUGGUAGUUCAUAUAUGCUUUCUAAUUAUUUUUUUCUUAUUCAUUCUUAUGCAUGAACUCUCUUGUUCAAGUCCAAAUUGGACUCCCAUCCCUGGAACACUCCUCUUCUUGUGUCAACCUCCUUCAAAGUUUCGAAAUGGAGUUAAUAUUGUUCGGUUAAAAUACCAAGGCAGCAAUUUAGUAGCAAAGUAGCAGCAGUCCCAAAGGGAUCAAAAUUGGGAAUUUUGAACUAUAAUGAAUCCAAUUCAUACAAUAACAGGUUGCAGCAUUCACACAGGACAAAAAUGAGAAUAUUUUCUUUAGAUUUUGGAGUUCAAUUUGAUCGUGGCAGCAACAAAUAGUAUUUAGGCCAAGGGCCUGGAUCCUCACUAUUUAUUAUCUUGGUUAUAUGUUCUUAAUUUGUUUUUGUUUGGAAAUGCUAACAUUUUCUUCGAUUAACUUAGAUGAAUCCUUUGGAUGUUUUCGAAUGGCUCUUCUAUUUCGUCAUUUGUUUACUUUAAGUUUUCGAAACCCAUUUUAAGUUAGAUCACUUAAGCUUAUUAGAAUAACUUAAGAACUCUUCAUGUUCUUUUAUAGUUAUUGAAAAGCUUUGAAUCCAUGUUCUUGAGUUUGAACUAACUAUUUAGUUCAAAUUUUUGAAUAGGAUAAAAUCGUCAAGUUUGUCAAAUAAAUUAGUUGUCGUUUAAUUUAAUCUAAGACUUUGUAUGAAUGACUUGAGGAUUUUCUAUAUCCUUUCAUAGUUGUUAAACAAGGUUAUUUAAUUCAUAUUUAUGAUUAUGAAUGAAUUAUACUAUUCAAAACUCAACUAUGAAUUUUGUUCCAAGUUAGGUCUAUCCUUGAGAUUUUGGAC
rnacentral:lncRNA from 1 species